rnacentral:rRNA from 1 species
GAUGAACGCUGGCGGCGUGCCUAAUACAUGCAAGUCGAGCGAACGGACGAGAGGCUUGCUUCUCUGAUGUUAGCGGCGGACGGGUGAGUAACACGUGGAUAACCUACCUAUAAGACUGGGAUAACUUCGGGAAACCGUAGCUAAUACCGGAUAAUAUUUUGAACCGCAUGGUUCAAAAGUGAAAGACGGUCUUGCUGUCACUUAUAGAUGGAUCCGCGCUGCAUUAGCUAGUUGGUAAGGUAACGGCUUACCAAGGCAACGAUGCAUAGCCGACCUGAGAGGGUGAUCGGCCACACUAGAACUGAGACACGGUCCAGACUCCUACGGGAGGCAGCAGUAGGGAAUCUUACGCAAUGGGCGAAAGCCUGACGGAGCAACGCCGCGUGAGUGAUGAAGGUCUUCGGAUCGUAAAACUCUGUUAUUAGGGAAGAACAUAUGUGUAAGUAACUGUGCACAUCUUGACGGUACCUAAUCAGAAAGCCACGGCUAACUACGUG